rnacentral:tRNA from 2 species
CUAAAAGUAGCUUAUUUUAAAGCUUUGGAUUCUUACUCCUAGGAUGUUGCUUAAACCUUUUAGG